ensembl:lncRNA
CGGAAGCGUCCCGAGCCCCGGCGGUGCUGCAGCGGGGGGCCCAAGAUGGAGACCACGUCUAGGGUUUCAUUGUCGUGGACACAUUGAGUAAGUUUGUCCUAAAAGUUUUCUUUUUAAUUGAUUUUAGUUGAGCGUAAAUGGUUGGUCGACCAAAGUAAAAUUAGCGUCUCUACUCACUCUCGACAGACAUCUUCUUUAGACUAAACGAUUAAGGGUCAGAUUUCCAUAAUAAUCAGUUGCCUUAAUUAGUAGUUUUUUGGGCCAUAUUCUGUUUUGUAGUGACCAGCGCUGUAACCCCUUGUGUAUUUGUUCUGGACCUUGACAGUUUUGUGUGUGCACAAUACAUGAUGUGUAGAUUGCUGCGGAGCCAAAGUUCAAAAGCCCAAACUUUUCAGUCCUAUGCUGUUGUCAGCGCGUGCUAACGUUAGCACAACAAAGCUCAUGGUCGGCUCCUUGCUGCAACACAGAAGAAGAGAGUUGUGUGUUAUGCCAGUGAUCAAACUAUACCACGGUGCAACGGGGUCAAACAUUCCUCCCUUUUAUUUGAGAACGUAGUCUUACUUUGGCACCUGCACUUUUCUGUUCAAAGUAAACGCAAACCACCAGGAUGUGAACCCAGCCGUGCACUGCUGCCCUCAUCGUAGUCUUAAAAUAUAUUUUAAAGGAUGAUGGAUUUUGAAUACUUAAACUGAAAAAAGUAGUUUGUCAUCCCACGCGAGUGCGCACGUAGUGUGGAGAAACCGUCGCUGCGUGUCAUUGAUGUGGCGGAUGCCCACAUGAUUGCCUCAUCAGACAGUCCGAUGACGACGAUGAGGAGGAUGAUGUAAUCCUAAACACAGCAGGAUAUUUUUGUUGUUGUUGUUGUUGCAGCAGCUGCUGCAUCGGUCUUCCCUCCUCGCUGACUGGCAGGAGAUCCCCUGCUGCAGGAGGGUCGGCAGGAGAGAGACCGUAAGGUGACGACAGGAAGGCGGAACCAGGAGGAGGAGGAAAGCAAUACUGAUUUUUAAUUGGCUGUUUGGGGUUCGGUACACCGUGUACCCAGUAAAUGUUUAUGGGCCUGUUGCAGGCUGAUUGACAUCCUUGCAGGUUUUCUAUUAAUCUCAAUUCGGAGAGAGCCGGUGGAAAUACAUUUGCAUCUUAUUUUUACAUGCUUCAGUUUUGUCUAUGAAAGAAGAAUUGCCAUCUCUGUGUCUGCAGCUGAUGUGUUGAAACGUGGUUAAAAGUUUUCCACAUGUGGGGGAAACGCCCUCUUGCUUUUAUAGCAGGUACGCAGAUACACCUGAAUAGUUCCCGAAUGACUCAGCAGCACUCCUGCAGCCUCGGUGAGCCACCGCUAAACGCAAGAAACAGCUGCUGGGAAGGACAACGCGGUCCAAGUUAUCUCUGCUUUGAGUCUCGAGUGGGGCUUCCGAAAACACUGGCGCCUCAAUCUCCCACAAUGCACCUCCCAGGAGUUGGGUGUAUCUGGCCCAACGUGCUCGCGUGCUUCAAACCUCUCAGCGCCGUCUGCUGCGAUCCCUUUCUCGUCGAUCAGAUGCCAAUGAUUUUAGUGGAAGGUGUGACCGAACUUGACAAAGCCCAGAUGUCCCGGUGACUCUUUUGUGCGACACGAUUGUCAGUCGCUAUAAAAACAAAGCGCGUGCAGCUUAGUCCCAACUGUGAACUCAAACCUGCGUGCUGUUGAAGCUUGUAUCAAAGAUUCAUGGUGAAUUACUUUAUAUAACACUGAUGGCCACUGUAGGAAACAAACGGCACAACAAAAACCGAUAAAAGAAGCUCGUUCUCCUCCGUCGCUGUAAUGUGGAUGCUGCUCAGGUUCCCGGCGGACGGUCCUGAGGUCUGAGGCAUCUGAUUCCUGCUCCAGCUGGGAUUAAAUGGACGCAUCAGGCCGGUUACGUAACGCUGCUCUCUGCCAUGCAGCCUGCUUGGUGGAAGCCGCUGUCACGCAGCAUCGCUCUGUGGGCAUGAUUCCUGUUUUUGCAUGGACUCGAUGGGGCAAUCGUAUAUGAAUCUUCACAAAGGGCUUUUUCCUGUUUUUGGAAGGAGGAGGAGGAGGGUGUGUUUUGGGGAGAGCAACCCACUGAGAGUAAUGCAUGUGGACAGCGUAUGUGUUUUUGAAAGUGGGCGUGUGCUGAAGGCGAGCCCACGGGUCGGGUUGGGUGAGAGCGGAGCCGUAUAAAAGGCGCAGAAGCUCUCGGUAGCUCACGCUUCGUCUCUCUGUGGCAUCUGUCGGGGUUUCCAGCGUGGUCGGGAAGUGGAAGGUCCCGCUGGUCGGUUUUUUUCGGCCCGCCAUCCUCUCCUCCCCCCCCCCGUUACCUUUCUUCCGCCGAUCACAUCGGCCCCUGGAAGGUCUUGAAAGCUCUUCCCUCCGUUUGGCCCCCGCCUCACACCAACCGACAAUGAUCAUCCGACUGGGCCGACUGACACCCGGAUACUUCCGUCUCCUCCAGAGGCAAGUCGCCGGGGAGGUGCAGACGCAGCCGCGGGACCGCGCCGUCAACCAGCUGGCCAUGAUGCUGGCCAUCAUGGGCCUGAGUUUGUCCUACUACAGCGCCAAGCAGAUGACGGAGGACGUCCGCGCGCAGCCCGCGCCCUGAGGACACUCGCCCAGCCCGCUCGCGGAGAAGACGGGCGAGCCGAUGGGGGUAGAAGGAGGCGGGAGAAGGGGGGGUGUGGACUGGUUUGGGUGGGCGAUCAUAACCAGCCGACUGGCACCUGGGUCUGACCACUAGUCUCUUACAAAGGUACAUGCCUGCAAGAUGCCGUCAAUACUGUCCUGAGCGACGAAAAAGGGGACGCUCAUUUUGCCAGUUCUUCAAAGAGCGUCAAAUAAAAGCACAGUAAUGCCUUUGUUUUAAGCGAUGGGCUGACUGCAGUUGAGAUGUACCUUGUAAUGAAGUGAUGGCCGGCUCACAACAAGGCGGAAGGGGGCUAAUAAGUUAGCACAACACACUUUCUUUUUUUUGUUCUUCAUUAGAGAACCGUACAGAUCCAGAGCUUAAUUCAAAAACCGUCAAUGUGUAGAAAUGCUUGUAAAAUGUUUCUGUGUGGUGUCAGGUUCAUUUGAGUAGAUGUGCAAUAGUGCAGAAACAUUUUCUUUGAGUGCUACAUUGGCUCCUCAAAGGGACUUUAAGCAACUCCUCUUUUUAUGUUUGAUUGUUUUUUUUGAUCUCACACUACCGUAAAUCAAAGUCCCGUUGAGAUGAAUGACUACCUGUUUUCUUAAAGCACACUGAUUGAGAAACCUUCCUGCGAUCUCAUUCUACAUGCAGACCUUUUAACUUUAACUGAACAUUGCAUGUUUGUGCAGACUUUUAAUCGAGCGACAAUCUUGUUUUUAAAUGAUGGAUGAAUGUAUUACUCUGUGAAAGAUUUAAUAAAGCUGUGAACAUCUUGAAUGCGAU